GACGAACGCUGGCGGCGUGCUUAACACAUGCAAGUCGAACGUGAUUUUUGUGGAAAUUCUUUCGGGAAUGGACAUGAAAUGAAAGUGGCGAACGGGUGAGUAACACGUGAGCAACCUACCUUACACAGGGGGAUAGCCGUUGGAAACGACGAUUAAUACCGCAUGAGACCACAGAAUCGCAUGAUAUAGGGGUCAAAGAUUUAUCGGUGUAAGAAGGGCUCGCGUCUGAUUAGCUAGUUGGAAGGGUAAAGGCCUACCAAGGCGACGAUCAGUAGCCGGUCUGAGAGGAUGAACGGCCACAUUGGAACUGAGACACGGUCCAAACUCCUACGGGAGGCAGCAGUGGGGAAUAUUGCACAAUGGGGGGAACCCUGAUGCAGCGACGCCGCGGGAGCGAAGAAGGUUUUCGAAUCGUAAAGCUCUGUCCGAUGAGAAGAUAAGGACGGGAUCAUAGGAGGAAGCCCCGGCUAAAUACGG
rnacentral:rRNA from 1 species